AUUGAACGCUGGCGGCAGGCUUAACACAUGCAAGUCGAGCGGAAACGGAGGUAGCUUGCUACCAGACGUCGAGCGGCGAACGGGUGAGUAACGCGUAGGAAUCUACCUAGUAGAGGGGGAUAGCCCGGGGAAACUCGGAUUAAUACCGCAUACGCCCUAAGGGGGAAAGCAGGGGAUCUUCGGACCUUGCGCUAUUAGAUGAGCCUGCGUCGGAUUAGCUAGUUGGUAGGGUAAAGGCCUACCAAGGCGACGAUCCGUAGCUGGUCUGAGAGGAUGAUCAGCCACACUGGAACUGAGACACGGUCCAGACUCCUACGGGAGGCAGCAGUGGGGAAUAUUGGACAAUGGGGGCAACCCUGAUCCAGCCAUGCCGCGUGUGUGAAGAAGGCCU
rnacentral:rRNA from 1 species